rnacentral:rRNA from 1 species
GACGAACGCUGGCGGCGUGCCUAAUACAUGCAAGUCGAACGCUGACGGAGGAACUUGCUUCUCCUGAUGAAUUGCUGACGGAUGAGUGACGCGUGCGUGACCUGCCUGGUAACGGGGGAUAACUAUUGCAAACGAUUGCUAAUACCGCAUAAGAGUAGAUGUUGCAUGACGUUUGCUUAACAGGUGCACUUGCAUCACUACCAGAUGGACCUGCGUUGUAUUAGCUAGGUUGAGGAGGUAACGGCUCACCCAGAGCAACUAUACAUGGCCGACCUGAAAGGGUGAUCGGCCUCACUGGGACUGACACACGGCCCACACUCCUACGGGAGGCAGCAGUAAGGAAUCUUCGGGAAUGGACGGAAGUCUGACCCAUCAACGCCGCGUGAGUGAAGAAUGUUUUCGGAUCGUAAAGCUCUGUUGUAAGAGAAGAACGAGUGUGAGAGUGGAAAGUUCACACUGUGACGGUAUCUUACCAGAAAGGGACGGCUAACUACGUGCCACCAGCCGCGGUAAUACGUACGUCCCGAGCGUUGUCCGGAUUUAUUGGGCGUAAAGCGAGCGCAGGCGGUUAGAUAAGUCUGAAGUUAAAGGCUGUGGCUUAACCAUAGUACGCUUUGCAAACUGUUUAACUUGAGUGCAAGAGGGGAGAGUGUAAUUCCAUGUGUAGCGGUGAAAUGCGUAUAUAUAUGGAGGAACACCGGUGGCGAAAGCGGCUCUCUGGCUUGUAACUGACGCUGACGCUCGAAAGCGUGGGGAGCAAACACGAUUAGAUACCCUGGUAGUGCACGCCGUAAACGAGGAGUGGUAGGUGUUAGACCCUUUCCAGGGUGUAGUCCGGCAGUUACCGCAUUAAUCACUCCCCUUGGGGAGUCCGCCCCCAAGGUUGAAAUUCAAAGGAAUGGCCGGGGGCCCCCCCAACCGUGUGGACCAUGUGGUUUAUUUGGAAGCACCGGGAGGACCCUUCCCAGUUCUGGCCAUCCGUGAGCCCUCUAGAGAGAGAGAGUUUCCUUUCGGGACUGAGAGUGCCAGUGUGGUCCAGGGUUGUGUUCACCUCGUGUCGAGAGAUGUGGGGUUAAUUCCCCCACGAAGCCCACCCCCUACUUUUAGUGCCCAUCAUUCAGUCGGGCACUCAAGCGAGACUGCCGGUAAUAAACCGGAGGAAGGUGGGGAUGACGUCAAAUCAUCAUGCCCCUUAUGACCAGGGCUACACACGUGCUACAAUGGCGGAUACAGAGAGUAGCAAGCCGGCGACGGCAAGCUAAUCUCUCAAAGCCAGUCUCAGUUCGGAUUGUAGUCUGCAACUCGCCUCCAUGAAGUCGGAAUCGCUAGUAAUCGCGGAUCAGCACGCCGCGGUGAAUACGUUCCCGGGCCU